GGUCAAGCGAAUAAGCGCACACGGUGGAUGCCUUGGCGGUCAGAGGCGAUGAAGGACGUGGCAGCCUGCGAAAAGUAUCGGGGAGCUGGCAACAAGCUUUGAUCCGGUAAUGUCCGAAUGGGGAAACCCACCCGCUUGCGGGUAUCCUGCAGUGAAUACAUAGCUGCUGGAAGCGAACCUGGUGAACUGAAAUAUCUAAGUAACCAGAGGAAAAGAAAUCAACCGAGAUUCCGUAAGUAGCGACGAGCGAACGCGGACUAGCCCUUAAGCUGGAUUGGUUCUAGGAAAACGCUCUGGAAAGAGCGGCCAUAGAAGGUGAUAGCCCUGUAUCUGAAAGGGCCAUUCCAGUGAAGACGAGUAGGGCGGGGCACGUGAAACCCUGUCUGAACAUGGGGGGACCAUCCUCCAAGGCUAAAUACUACUGACCGACCGAUAGUGAACCAGUACCGUGAGGGAAAGGCGAAAAGAACCCCGGAGAGGGGAGUGAAAUAGAACCUGAAACCGUGUGCGUACAAGCAGUAGGAGCUCCGCAAGGAGUGACUGCGUACCUUUUGUAUAAUGGGUCAGCGACUUACUGUUCGUGGCAAGCUUAACCGUAUAGGGGAGGCGAAGGGAAACCGAGUCUGAUAAGGGCGCAUAGUCGCGGGCAGUAGACCCGAAACCGGGUGAUCUAGUCAUGCCCAGGGUGAAGGUGCGGUAACACGCACUGGAGGCCCGAACCCACUCCCGUUGCAAAGGUAGGGGAUGAGGUGUGAUUAGGAGUGAAAAGCUAAUCGAACCCGGAGAUAGCUGGUUCUCCUCGAAAGCUAUUUAGGUAGCGCCUCAUAUGUAUCCUCUCGGGGGUAGAGCACUGUUAUGGCUAGGGGGUCAUCGCGACUUACCAAACCAUUGCAAACUCCGAAUACCGAGACGGACUGUAUGGGAGACACACGGCGGGUGCUAACGUCCGUCGUGAAAAGGGAAACAACCCAGACCCACAGCUAAGGUCCCAAAUUUUGUGCUAAGUGGAAAACCAUGUGGAAAGGCACAGACAGCCAGGAGGUUGGCUUAGAAGCAGCCACCCUUUAAAGAAAGCGUAAUAGCUCACUGGUCGAGUCGGUCUGCGGGGAAGAUUUAACGGGGCUAAGCACAGAACCGAAGCUUGGGGUGCAUAACUUUGUUAUGCGCGGUAGAGGAGCGUUCCGUAAGCCGUUGAAGGUGGAUUGAGAAGUCUGCUGGAGGUAUCGGAAGUGCGAAUGCUGACAUGAGUAACGAUAAUGCGGGUGAAAAACCCGCACGCCGAAAGCCCAAGGUUUCCUUGCGCAACGUUAAUCGGCGCAGGGUGAGUCGGCCCCUAAGGCGAGGACGAAAGUCGUAGUCGAUGGGAAGCAGGUUAAUAUUCCUGCACCUCGCGUAAGUGCGAUGGAGGGACGGAGAAGGUUAGGUGUACCAGGCGUUGGUUGUCCUGGGGAAAGGCGGUAGGUUUGGAUCUUUGGCAAAUCCGGGAUCCUUUAAGACCGAGCACCGAGACGAGCCUUUAAGGCGAAGUCACUGAUACCACGCUUCCAGGAAAAGCUCCUAAGCUUCAGCUUACGCAGACCGUACCGUAAACCGACACAGGUGGGUAGGAUGAGAAUUCUCAGGCGCUUGAGAGAACUCGGGUGAAGGAACUAGGCAACAUGGCACCGUAACUUCGGGAGAAGGUGCACCCUUUUUGGUGGCUCGUGCGAGCUAUAGCUGAAGAGGGUCGCAGUAACCAGGCCGCUGCGACUGUUUAUCAAAAACACAGCACUCUGCAAACACGAAAGUGGACGUAUAGGGUGUGACGCCUGCCCGGUGCUGGAAGGUUAAUUGAUGGGGUCAGCCGCAAGGCGAAGCUCUUGAUCGAAGCCCCAGUAAACGGCGGCCGUAACUAUAACGGUCCUAAGGUAGCGAAAUUCCUUGUCGGGUAAGUUCCGACCUGCACGAAUGGCGUAACGACAGCGGCGCUGUCUCCACCCGAGACUCAGUGAAAUUGAAAUCGCUGUGAAGAUGCAGCGUUCCCGUGGCAAGACGGAAAGACCCCGUGAACCUUUACUAUAGCUUUACACUGAACGUUGAGUUCGUCUGUGUAGGAUAGGUGGGAGGCUAUGAAACCAUGGCGCUAGCUGUGGCGGAGCCAUCCUUGAAAUACCACCCUGUCGUGCUUGACGUUCUAACCUGGGCCCAUUAUCUGGGUCGGGGACCGUGUAUGGUGGGUAGUUUGACUGGGGCGGUCUCCUCCUAAAGAGUAACGGAGGAGCUCGAAGGUACGCUCAGCGCGGUCGGACAUCGCGCACUGUGUGCAAAGGCAUAAGCGUGCUUGACUGCAAGAUCGACGGAUCAAGCAGGUAGGAAACUAGGACUUAGUGAUCCGGUGGUUCUGUAUGGAAGGGCCAUCGCUCAACGGAUAAAAGGUACUCCGGGGAUAACAGGCUGAUACCGCCCAAGAGUUCAUAUCGACGGCGGUGUUUGGCACCUCGAUGUCGGCUCAUCACAUCCUGGGGCUGUAGUCGGUCCCAAGGGUAUGGCUGUUCGCCAUUUAAAGUGGUACGCGAGCUGGGUUCAGAACGUCGUGAGACAGUUCGGUCCCUAUCUGCCAUGGGCGUUGGAGAUUUGAGAGGGGCUGCUCCUAGUACGAGAGGACCGGAGUGGACGAACCUCUGGUGUUCCGGUUGUCACGCCAGUGGCAUUGCCGGGUAGCUAUGUUCGGAAGCGAUAACCGCUGAAAGCAUCUAAGCGGGAAGCGCGCCUCAAGAUGAGAUCUCCCGGGGCACAAGCCCCCUGAAGGAACCAUGUAGACUACGUGGUUGAUAGGUCAGGUGUGUAAGUACAGCAAUGUAUUGAGCUAACUGAUACUAAUGAUCCGUGCGGCUUGACCAU
rnacentral:rRNA from 1 species